AAGUCGUAACAAGGUUUCCGUAGGUGCUGCAGCCUCUCCAGGUUCGCCUACGUCGGCCCCGGGCGACUCUAAAAACCCGCCCAGUCGGCCACCCUACCGUGGCUGGCCACGCAGUUAUUCUGGCUUGGAGGUGCCUCGGCGCCCACCAGCAGCUCCCGCUUCGGCACGGAGUUCACAGAUCAAAUGCCUGCGGCCACUCCGUGGUUUCGAUAUGACCGACCGCCGCCCGCAACGGGCUGGCGUUUCUGUGGAACCUGCGGAAGGAUCAUUACCGAGAGACGGGGUCCAACCGACCCCAAUCUUCACCCGUGUCUACCUACCUGUGUUGCUUUGGCGGGCCCCAGGGUCCCUGGCCCUGCGCCGGUCGGCGGCCUUACGUGCCUUUUCCCGGCGAGCGUCCGCCAAAGGCUCUGCAAACUCUUGUUUUAGUGUUGUCCGAGCGAAAAACCAAAUAGUUAAAACUUUCAACAACGGAUCUCUUGGUUCUG
rnacentral:misc_RNA from 1 species